UAUGUGACUGAAUUUUGUGGGCCAGAAUUAUUCGGGCGCAAACACAACGGUGGGGAGCUAGCGCUAAAACGAAAUUCCCUGUUUCCGAAAAUUAAAUUUCAAAAAAUGAAGCGCCGGGAGCUGGCAGGCUUUUUCCUCCAUUUCCGUCUCCACGCCCCCACAGUUCUCCACGCAGUGUCUCCACCGGAUUUCUCUGCCUUUACCGCAACUUACGCUACAUUGGGACCAUUGGGUCCAUCUAUCCCAGCGUUUUUUUCCGUGUCCUGUUCCAGAAGACUUGUGGCUUGGUUCCCGGGGCCUGGAUAAGUGCCGGUAAGCUUUUUUGGCUUUGAUAAUCGUAUCUCUUUUCCGUUGGUUCAUCGGAGAAGCGACCUUUUCAAGCAGUCUACUGAGCGCUUGUGUGAUUUCGUUAAAGUUUAAGCGAUUUUUGUUCGUGUUCUUAAUGAAUAAGGCUCUAUUAAAAACAUCAUUUUUAUUGCUUACAAAUGGUCUUACACUAUCUUUUGAUUGCGGAAAGGCAAUUCGUUGAUACUCCUGGAGAGGAUUCGCAUAAAUUUGAAAGUUAGUUCUUCCGGCACUAUUAAAACUUUGUACUAACAACGUGGCUGUUACAGUUAUGUAUAAAGAGAACAAUACCAUUACACAGUACACUAUUGUGACAAAUUUAGAUUGACAUUUUUGUUUCAAAUGUUUUAUAAAACGAGGGACACUAACUAUUUUUUAGAGUAUAUCGUUGCACAUUUGGGUACAAAACGCUAGUUAAUACAGGAUGGCAAUUUUUGGACAAUUAGCUGCGCUUCUGCUAACUAUGUAUAAAACCAGGCGAUUACAACAGCUAACGCGAAAAUUGACAUCGCAAUGGCGCAAACAAUCAGAUACUUAACAUGCUAGUAAGACGAACAUACCUAGAAAUUUUGACUAGUUUUACUAAAAAGUAAGACCGCAGAACUUAUCUUCAACUAAUCUGAAUGUAUCAAAGUCCAGUCUUCUCCAGAAAAAGUUCAAAUGUCAGUCUUGAAGUGAAGUUUUAGCCCUGAAAGAAGAAACUCAGGUAUAUUAAACAAUCUGUUAUAAUUUUUCAAUGUAUUUAUUGAAUAUCCAUAAAAUUCUUGAGAAAAUAUUAAUCAAUCACAAAUAAUCGGCGGUCCAGAUAUAAACAAACUUCAAACCGAUUGUCACAUUCUAAUUUAAAUCAUAGUAACAACACAAUCAAAUUCAUAUUGUCGACGCAGUUAUAACAGCAUUUCGUAGGCACUUAAAAGGAAUGUGUAAAUAAGGUAUAAAAUCCUUAGAAAAUUUUGUCUCGUUUUUCUGAAGAUAGAAAACUCUUAUAAAUUGGUAAAAAUGCUUUGUGCAUCAAUUUUGUCAAUAAGCACCCUGUAAUUUGAUUAAUAAACCAAUAAGACGUACCUACUGUAAUUCAUGAUGGCCUACACAAGUGUUCCGAUGGAAAACUUGUGUCAGCCAUCACUCAACAUCAAGUCUUAUAUGAAUCCACACAUAUAAAACUAUGACCAUUCAGUGAAUGCGAAACCAACUCAACAUGUUACGACUACCACCAAAAUAUUAAACUUUUGAUCACGUAACAAAAAGGAAUGCUUGGCGGUAAUCUCUCAGUCUUUUUCUUACCCACUCGUUCCACUACAAGUUAUAUUUUUCUUCUACACUCUCGAUACAGCAUAUAUACCUACUUACACAAUGAUUAAAGGAAGUGAAAUGCAAUUAAAAGUACUCAAUUUCACAAAUUAAACUAAAUACCAGGAAUGUGAUACAAAACUCGAUUUUCGGUACCCGAAUAAAAAUGGGGGCGAGUUGUUUUCAAUUAA